rnacentral:rRNA from 1 species
AUGUUCUCAGUUAAAAGCGUGUAUAAUUUAGCGACCACUCUUAAGGAGAAAAAAGAUGAAGGUGGACAAUCUAGCAGCGCUGCUAAUGGGGAUAGAAGAUUAUGGGAUUUAAUUUUGAAAACCAAAGUUCCUCAGAAAAUUCGGAUUUUUGGAUGGCAUGCCGCUUCUAAUAGCUUAGCGGUUCAAGUAAACAGAGUUAGUCACCAUCAAGCCACCUCAGGUAUGUGCGCUAUUUGUGGAGUGGAAGAGGAAAGUUCUUUUCAUGCUUUAGUCACCUGUACUAAGGCGAGGGCGCUACGAAUGGCCUUGAGGAAUGUGUGGGACAUCCCGAGGGAAGAGGAUUUCAGGUUCACGAGACCAGAUUGGAUGCUAGUUCUGUUAGAUCAACUAACUCCCCAGCUGCGAGAGCAAAUGCAGUUUUUGUUCUGGAGAGUUUGGCAUUUGAGGAAUAAUGUUAUCUUUGGAAAUCGUAAGGAGUCCAUCUCAGUAUCUGCAAAUUUUGUGGUAAACUUCUGGUCUCCUUUUUCAUCUAGUCAUGUUACAAAUAAGAUGAUGUUCGUAAAAGGGAAAGAGGCGACUAUUAAGCUCACUACAAAAAAAUACAUUUCCAUGAUGAUACAUUUUUUCUGA